rnacentral:rRNA from 1 species
CGAAAACCUUACCUACCCUUGACAUGUCCGGAAUCCCGAAGAGAUUUGGGAGUGCUCGCAAGAGAACCGGAACACAGGUGCUGCAUGGCUGUCGUCAGCUCGUGUCGUGAGAUGUUGGGUUAAGUCCCGCAACGAGCGCAACCCUUGUCAUUAGUUGCCAUCAUUUGGUUGGGCACUCUAAUGAGACUGCCGGUGACAAACCGGAGGAAGGUGGGGAUGACGUCAAGUCCUCAUGGCCCUUAUGGGUAGGGCUUCACACGUCAUACAAUGGCCGGUACAGAGGGUAGCCAACCCGCGAGGGGGAGCCAAUCCCACAAAGCCGGUCGUAGUCCGGAUCGCAGUCUGCAACUCGACUGCGUGAAGUCGGAAUCGCUAGUAAUCGCGGAUCAGCAUGUCGCGGUGAAUACGUUCCCGGGUCUU